rnacentral:rRNA from 1 species
UGCCUACGGGACGCAGCAGUAGGGAAUCUUCCACAAUGGACGAAAGUCUGAUGGAGCAACGCCGCGUGAGUGAAGAAGGGUUUCGGCUCGUAAAACUCUGUUGUUAGUGAAGAACAAUAGAGGUAGUAACUGGUCUUUCUUUGACGGUAAUUAAUUAGAAAGCCACGGCUAACUACGUGCCAGCAGCCGCGGUAAUACGUAGGUGGCAAGCGUUGUCCGGAAUUAUUGGGCGUAAAG